AGAGUUUGAUCAUGGCUCAGGAUGAACGCUAGCGGCAGCUUAAUACAUGCAAGUCGUGGGGCAGCACAGGUAGCAAUACUGGGUGGCGACCGGCAGACGGGUGCGGAACACGUACGCAACCUUCCCAAAACUGGUGAAUAGCCCUCCGAAAGGAGGAUUAAUACACCGUAACAUAAUGAAAUGGCAUCAUUUUAUUAUUAUAGCUCCGGCGGUUUUGGAUGGGCGUGCGCCUGAUUAGGUAGUUGGCGGGGUAACGGCCCACCAAGCCUACGAUCAGUAACUGGUGUGAGAGCACGACCAGUCACACGGGCACUGAGACACGGGCCCGACUCCUACGGGAGGCAGCAGUAAGGAAUAUUGGUCAAUGGACGAAAGUCUGAACCAGCCAUGCCGCGUGGAGGAUGAAGGUCCUCUGGAUUGUAAACUUCUUUUAUAUGGGACGAAAAAAGGCUUUUCUAAGUCGUCUGACGGUACCAUAUGAAUAAGCACCGGCUAACUCCGUGCCAGCAGCCGCGGUAAUACGGAGGGUGCAAGCGUUAUCCGGAUUCACUGGGUUUAAAGGGUGCGUAGGUGGGUUGGUAAGUCAGUGGUGAAAUCUCCGAGCUUAACUUGGAAACUGCCAUUGAUACUAUUAGUCUUGAAUAUUGUGGAGGUCAGCGGAAUAUGUCAUGUAGCGGUGAAAUGCUUAGAGAUGACAUAGAACACCAAUUGCGAAGGCAGCUGGCUACACAUAUAUUGACACUGAGGCACGAAAGCGUGGGGAUCAAACAGGAUUAGAUACCCUAGUAGUCC
rnacentral:rRNA from 1 species